rnacentral:pre_miRNA from 1 species
CAGUGUCUUUCGCCCCGCCUACUCUCCGCGCCACGUGGUGGUCGGGCGAGGGCCUCGGGGUAGCAU